rnacentral:rRNA from 1 species
GCAACGAGCGCAACCCUUGCCAUCAGUUGCUACGAAAGGGCACUCUGACGGGACUGCCGGUGACAAACCGGAGGAAGUGGGGAUGACGUCAAGUCCUCAUGGCCCUUAUAGGUGGGGCUACACACGUCAUACAAUGGCCGGUACAAAGGGCAGCCAACCCGCGAGGGGGAGCCAAUCCCAUAAAGCCGGUCGUAGUCCGGAUCGCAGUCUGCAACUCGACUGCGUGAAGUCGGAAUCGCUAGUAAUCGUGGAUCAGCAUGUCACGGUGAAUACGUUCCCGGGUCUU